UGCAGUCGAGCGAGCUGAAUUCAAAGAUCCCUUCGGGGUGAUUUGUUGGACGCUAGCGGCGGAUGGGUGAGUAACACGUGGGCAAUCUGCCCUAAAGACUGGGAUACCACUUGGAAACAGGUGCUAAUACCGGAUAACAACAUGAAUCGCAUGAUUCAAGUUUGAAAGGCGGCGCAAGCUGUCACUUUAGGAUGAGCCCGCGGCGCAUUAGCUAGUUGGUGGGGUAAAGGCCUACCAAGGCAAUGAUGCGUAGCCGAGUUGAGAGACUGAUCGGCCACAUUGGGACUGAGACACGGCCCAAACUCCUACGGGAGGCAGCAGUAGGGAAUCUUCCACAAUGGACGCAAGUCUGAUGGAGCAACGCCGCGUGAGUGAAGAAGGUUUUCGGAUCGUAAAGCUCUGUUGUUGGUGAAGAAGGAUAGAGGCAGUAACUGGUCUUUAUUUGACGGUAAUCAACCAGAAAGUCACGGCUAACUACGUGCCAGCAGCCGCGGUAAUACGUAGGUGGCAAGCGUUGUCCGGAUUUAUUGGGCGUAAAGCGAGCGCAGGCGGAAUGAUAAGUCUGAUGUGAAAGCCCACGGCUCAACCGUGGAACUGCAUCGGAAACUGUCAUUCUUGAGUGCAGAAGAGGAGAGUGGAAUUCCAUGUGUAGCGGUGGAAUGCGUAGAUAUAUGGAAGAACACCAGUGGCGAAGGCGGCUCUCUGGUCUGCAACUGACGCUGAGGCUCGAAAGCAUGGGUAGCGAACAGGAUUAGAUACCCUGGUAGUCCAUGCCGUAAACGAUGAGCGCUAGGUGUUGGGGACUUUCCGGUUCUCAG
rnacentral:rRNA from 1 species